rnacentral:rRNA from 1 species
UACGGAGGGUGCGAGCGUUGUCCGGAAUCACUGGGCGUAAAGGGCGCGUAGGCGGCCUGAUAAGUAGGGGGUGAAAUCUUGCGGCUUAACCGCAAGGCUGCCUUCUAAACUGUCGGGCUAGAGCACAGUAGAGGCAGGUGGAAUUCCCGGUGUAGCGGUGGAAUGCGUAGAGAUCGGGAAGAACAUCAGCGGCGAAGGCGGCGUCCUGGACUGGUACUGACGCUCAGGAGCGAAAGCGUGGGGAGCGAGCCGG